rnacentral:tRNA from 1 species
UGGGCUAUCGCCAAGUGGUAAGGCAACGGACUUUGACUCCGUCAUUCCGCUGGUUCGAAUCCAGCUAGCCCAACCA